UCUGUGUGUUUUUAGGAUAGUUAUAUGGUAUAGUAUUGUUCCUAAUUUUAGGGCAGCCAUCUAAUGAUGUGAUAUUUUGAGUAUUAGAAGAUCUAGUAAAUUUGUUAACCAAAUAAGUUUAGCACUUCAUAUCGAGAUGGAUACAUUUCUAUAUAAACAACUGGCUGACAAUCUAUAUGUAUAUGUGUUUUAUUAAGUGCGAAAGAUAAGUUUUCUGAUGUGGAGCAACAACUUAAGAAAGCUGAGAUUGGUGAGAGUCGUAGGACAUAGGAUUCAGAAUGAGAAAGCAGCCCGGGAAUCAGAGAUAACGAUUUUGAAAUGCCUUCCCCAAAUAAUCAAUUUCGACUCGGGCUUAUUCCUUCUGGUUCUACUUAGAUAUUGUAAUGUCGUAAUUUCUUGCAUUAUUCUUUUCCACAUAUCUUUUAUAUUCACUUUGAUUUUUAUAUGAAUACCCUUUCACUUUGAUUUUCCACGGUACAAGUGGGGUCUGGAAUCCUAUGACAUUUGCAGAUUAUUUUGGGUAAAAGCUUAUGCCUUGAUAUAGCUCAAGUCGUCAGAUGGUAAAAAUCACACAUAUCAAAGAACAAGUCUCAUGUACGAUAUUCAUCUUCGUUUGCUGGGUAGACUGUUAUUUUACUUUUUGAUUGAUUGUUUAGUUGUAUAUCUUAGUAUUCAUUAGUACCAAUGUCAAAAUUAUAUUCUGGCCUCAUCCGUGUUCAAAGCUAUUGAUUUCCUGAGUUAA